rnacentral:piRNA from 1 species
UGAAAUAGAAGGGGCCAGGUAAUUGAGGA